GAUGAACGCUGGCGGCGUGCCUAAUACAUGCAAGUCGAGCGAACGGACGAGAAGCUUGAUUUUAUGAUGUUAGCGGCGGACGGGAGAGUAACACGUGGAUAACCUACCUAUAAGACUGGGAUAACUUCGGGAAACCGGAGCUAAUACCGGAUAAUAUUUUGAACCGCAUGGUUCAAAAGUGAAAGACGGUCUUGCUGUCACUUAUAGAUGGAUCCGCGCUGCAUUAGCUAGUUGGUAAGGUAACGGCUUACCAAGGCAACGAUGCAUAGCCGACCUGAGAGGGUGGUCGGCCACACUAGAACUUGGACACGGUCCAUACGCCUACGGGAGGCAGCAGUAUGGUAUCUUCCGCAGUGGGCGAGAGCCUGACGGAGCGACGCCGCGUGAGUUAUGAAGGUCUUCGGAUCGUAAAACUCUGUUAUUAGGGAAGAACAUAUGUGUAAGUAACUGUGCACAUCGUGACGGUACCUAAUCAGAAAGCCACGGCUAACUACGUG
rnacentral:rRNA from 1 species